rnacentral:rRNA from 1 species
GACGAACGCUGGCGGCGUGCUUAACACAUGCAAGUCGAACGGAAAGGCCCUGCUUUUGUGGGGUGCUCGAGUGGCGAACGGGUGAGUAACACGUGAGUAACCUGCCCUUGACUUUGGGAUAACUUCAGGAAACUGGGGCUAAUACCGGAUAGGAGCUCCUGCUGCAUGGUGGGGGUUGGAAAGUUUCGGCGGUUGGGGAUGGACUCGCGGCUUAUCAGCUUGUUGGUGGGGUAGUGGCUUACCAAGGCUUUGACGGGUAGCCGGCCUGAGAGGGUGACCGGCCACAUUGGGACUGAGAUACGGCCCAGACUCCUAUGGGAGGCAGCAGUGGGGAAUAUUGCACAAUGGGCGGAAGCCUGAUGCAGCAACGCCGGGUGCGGGAUGACGGCCUUCGGGUUGUAAACCGCUUUCGCCUGUGACGAAGCGUGAGUGACGGUAAUGGGUAAAGAAGCACCGGCUAACUACGUG